rnacentral:tRNA from 1 species
UACAUUUUAGUGUAUGAUGCACAGAAAUUUUUGAUAUUUAUAGAAUUAAACUAAUUCUAGAAAAUGUAG